UCAUCAUCGUUGACAUCUGUCAAUAUGCUUCUUGUCACUGUCAGCAGUGACAGCUGUCAUUACUGGACAUACGAUAGACGUGUCCAAAAUGAAAUCAAACUAAAAUAAAUUUUUAAUUUUUACAGGAUAUAAGUAAUUUAUAGGGAAAAAGAUAUUUAAGUAACAAUGGAGGAAGAGCUUCUAGGAUCAGGAGGUAGCAAAAGUAAACUUUCCCAGAUAUGUACGCGCCUAUCCCAGUCGUACCAAGGCAUGUUGGACCGGACGGUACCCUGGAAGAAAGUACGGUGGCUUUACGCCAUCGUACUCCUACUAGGGUUCGUAGCAAGAAUUCUGAUCGCUCAGGGAUGGUACAUAGUCACAUACGCCCUAGGCAUUUACCAUCUGAACCUAUUCAUAGCGUUUCUUACCCCAAAAAUUGAUCCUGCCAUGGAUUUCGAUGCCGAAGAUAACUCACCGGGGCUACCAACGAAAGCGAACGAGGAGUUCAAACCGUUCAUCCGACGGUUACCAGAGUUCAAAUUCUGGUACUCGAUCACUAAAAGUACCUUGAUCGGACUGGUGUGCACCUUCUUCGAUUGCUUUAAUAUACCAGUGUUUUGGCCCAUACUGGUCAUGUAUUUCAUCACACUUUUCUGUAUUACCAUGAAAAGGCAAAUUAGGCAUAUGAUCAAGUACAGAUACCUGCCGUUCACCCAUGGGAAACCAAAGUACCAAACCAAUGAAACAGGUAAAUCCUCAAAGUGACCACGAUGUACACAGUUAUUUAAGCGAAAUUCUUAGCUAGGUUAGUUCAGGUUGAUUUUGUCCGUAUUAUUUUGUGCGAAGUCCAGAAUUUGUGACGGCAUUUCCGACUAAAAUGGGAAGGCCCCUCCUCCUCCUCCUCUUAUGAUCCAUUUUUUAAUUGCCGAAUUAUUUAAAAAAAUAAAUAAAUAAUAUGCCAGUGCCUCUGUAACGCGUUUAUUUGUACAUUUUUGUUCACACUGGUGGAUUAACAUUAAAUUAUUGUACAUA